AACAAAUCGAGUAGGCUCCGACCUGCAUGACCGUUCAAUAACUAAAUCCUGCUGAAUUUGGACCAAACACUGUGAAUACUUGACGUGGGACGCCCCUGGUGACGAAUUCAGUGGACUAAAAUCAUCAUCUCUAUAAGUACGCAAAUUGGACCCGUAUUCGUUCGCGUUGAAGCUACGUGCCCUAGCCUAACCUAUCUCGGAAACAUCAAGUAACGUAUGUCAUCAAAUAUUUACUGAGGAGGUAAACAUCAAUCGGUAGCUGGCAGACAACGAGUCGCGUUUGCGAUCAAACCGUGCUGUUGAAGAAACAUCGAACAGCAGUUCAAGUGUGAAGGAGGGUCACGACGGAGCAGAACAGCAUUUUCGCCGAAGGACUGAUUUGCCAGGGGAC